GUGUGGGUGCGGGCGUGUGAAUGUGUGUGUGUCGCUCGGGUCCACAUUCAUGCACACACCCACACACCUGCACUC
rnacentral:miRNA from 1 species